rnacentral:lncRNA from 1 species
GAUAAAUGUGUGGUUCAUGCAAUCAUCAACUUCCAAUAUGGAAGCCAUGUUCCCACACCGGUAACAAUAGUUAGGUGCACUAAAAAUGGUAACCACCUUUUGUUCCUGUUUCAACAACAAAAUAAUGCACAUGUCUAAAACUAUAUCCCCAUUUUUUAAAAGCAAGCAAAUGAAAGAGAAGAUCACUGCAUGAGAUGAAAAAAAUACAUGAGCCCAGUUAAAUCCAUCCAUAACCAGCUGAUGAGCUCUAGCAAUCAACUUAAGACCAUUUGUGUGAUUGAAUUGUUCAGAUAUAUCCUGACAGAACGUGAAUUAGCAACGUGAAUUAGCAUUAAAUUAAUUAAAACUAAAAUAGUAAUAAAAAGGAAAGACAAUAACCUAGAGUUGAGAAAUUAAAGUUAUGGUUACCUGGCCAAAAGUGUAUAUGUUAUAUGUCAAAGAAAGAGACCUGGAUAAAUGUGUGGUUCAUGCAAUCAUCAACUUCCAAUAUGGAAGCCAUGUUCCCACACCGGUAACAAUAGUUAGGUGCACUAAAAAUGGUAACCACCUUUUGUUCCUGUUUCAACAACAAAAUAAUGCACAUGUCUAAAACUAUAUCCCCAUUUUUUAAAAGCAAGCAAAUGAAAGAGAAGAUCACUGCAUGAGAUGAAAAAAAU